rnacentral:tRNA from 2 species
AGGAUAUUAGUCCAAAAAUAAGACCUCUGAUUUCGGCUCAGAAAACUACAGUUUAAACCUGUAAUAUCCUU